UGAACGCUGGCGGUCGGCCUAACACAUGCAAGUCGAACGGCAGCACAGUAAGAGCUUGCUCUUACGGGUGGCGAGUGGCGGACGGGUGAGGAAUACAUCGGAAUCUACUUUUUCGUGGGGGAUAACGUAGGGAAACUUACGCUAAUACCGCAUACGACCUACGGGUGAAAGCAGGGGAUCUUCGGACCUUGCGCGAUUGAAUGAGCCGAUGUCGGAUUAGCUAGUUGGCGGGGUAAAGGCCCACCAAGGCGCCGAUCCGUAGCUGGUCUGAGGGGAUGAUCAGCCACACUGGAACUGAGACACGGUCCAGACUCCUACGGGAGGCAGCAGUGGGGAAUAUUGGACAAUGGGCGCAAGCCUGAUCCAGCCAUACCGCGUGGGUGAAGAAGGCCUUCGGGUUGUAAAGCCCUUUUGUUGGGAAAGAAAAGCAGCAGGUUAAUACCCCGCUGUUCUGACGGUACCCAAAGAAUAAGCACCGGCUAACUUCGUG
rnacentral:rRNA from 1 species